ACCAAUCCCAUGCAUCUAUCUCCACACUCCUACAUGUGCCCUUGCCCGCUUAGCUACGCUAUCUCCCCAGGGCCUUGUAUCUUCCUCAUCUAUUUAAUUGCCACACAAAAGUAUAGUGUUAUAACGAGUACUAGCGACAGAGUUCGUAGGGCUAGAUGUGUCUCUACUCCCAAUCCAGUUCCGACUCCUCCCAGAAGGGCUGCAAAUAUGUCCCGUUUUUCCCAACUCCCUGCUUUGCCUAAACCAAUGCCGCUGUUGUUCCAGACACCUUGGAGGAAUAGAAGGAUUAUUAAAAUGCAGACUCUAAUCUUUUUAAACUGACUACCUUAUUUGGAGUAUCUUCUGGUCGUAUUGCCUGUCUCCCCGUCCCUACUGUGAUACAGCUUAUACUUAUCCAUCCUGUAACAAGGAUCCACCACGAUCUUCUGUUGACACACAUCAUCAUCCUAAUACAGCUUUGCCUUGCUAUGUGGGA